UUCAAUGUGAGAGGAGCGGGACUUCAAUGUGAGACCCCUGAGGGGGAACCAUGGGGAUGCAUGGCGAGACCCCCUGAGGGGGCAACGAUGGUGGGAUCCUGGAGUGAGACCCCAGAGAGAGAACCAUGGCGAGACCCCUGAGGGAAGAAUCAUGGAGGAACCCGGAGUGAGACCCCUGAGGGAAGAAUCAUGGUGGGACCCCUGAGGGAGAAACCAUGGCGCGAUCCCUGAGGGAAGAACCAUGGCGGAACCCGGAGUGAGACACCUGAGGAGGAAUCAUGGCGGGAUCCCUGAGGGAGGAAUCAUGGCGGGACCCCUGAGGGAGGAACCAUGGCGGGAUCCCUGAGGGGGAACCAUGGCGGGACUCCUGAGGGGGAGCCAUGGCGGGACCCCUGAGGGAGAAACCAUGGCAGGACCCCUGAGGGAGGAACCAUGGCAGGAUCCCUGAGGGAGGAACCAUGGCGCAAUCCCUGAGGGAAGAACCAUGGCGGAACCCGGAGUGAGACACCUGAGGAGGAAUCAUGGCGGGACCCCUGAGGAGGAAUCAUGGCGGGACCCCUGAGGGAGGAACCAUGGCGGGAUCCCUGAGGGAGGAACCAUGGCGGGACCCCUGAGGGAGGAACCAUGGCAGGACCCCUGAGGAGGAAUCAUGGCGGGACCCCUGAGGAGGAAUCAUGGCGGGACCCCUGAGGAGGAAUCAUGGCGGGAUCCCUGAGGGAGGAACCAUGGCGGGAUCCCUGAGGGAGGAACCAUGGCGAGACCUCUGAGGGGGCAAUCAUGGUGGGACCCGUGAGGGAGGAAUCAUGGCGGGACCCCUGAGGGAGGAACCAUGGUGGGACCCCUGAGGGAGGAACCAUGGCAAGACCUCUGAGGGAGGAUCCAUGGAGGGACCCCAGAGCGAGACCCUUGAGGGGGAACCAUGGCGGGACCCCUGAGUGGGAACCAUGGCAGGAUCCCUGAAGGAGGAAUCAUGGCGAGACCCCUGAGGGAGGAACCAUGGCGGGCCCUGCUGCCGCUCAGGAACCUCAGGGUGUUGCUCCAACAAGAUCCGAAUUCCCCAUUUUCCUUAGAAAUUCCCUCAAUUCCUUUUCCCGCUUUUUCCCAUUGGAUCCAUCCCGGUUUUAUCCCUCAGCGGUCGGCGCUAGGACCGAGCCCCAGCGGCCGUAACGCGCAGGGGCGGCCAUUCCUCCUCCUCCCGCAUUCCCGACGCUUUCCCAUUCCCGCUCCCGCUCCCCAUCCCGGUGACAUUUUUGGGAUCGAAUCCUGGAAAAAACUUUGGGAUCCAUGGAGAAGCCAUUCCCAGAGAAAAAGGACGAAGAAGAGGGAAAAGCGAUGGUGAACCUCGAGCUGGAUUUUUUAAUGUUCCCACAUGGAAAUGCUUGGGGAUCCCGAAUUUACAUCCAAAAUUUUAGGUAAGAAUAUUUUUCCAAGU